AAGAAUGUGAAACCCUAUGUAAUGUCUCUAUUCCUAAUUUAAUUUUUAAUAUUCAUCUUGCAACCUCCUCUUCCUCUUGCAGGCAGCAGCUCUUCCUCUUCUUCCUCUUCCUCUUUCAGGUAGCAGCAGCAGCAGCUGUUGUUUACGGCGACUUCAAGUCUUCAACCGGCGACCGGCGUUCGGCGGCCAGCCUAAUUGAUCUGCUGCUUGGCCUCUAUUUUCUUCAAACUGUUCAUCACCAACCGUUGAAACAUUAAUCUUCAAAUCAUCCAUAGGAAAAAACAAUUUUGCCUCUUGAUGAGAAGGUAAACUUCCAUACCCAUUUUCAAAUCCAUCCAAAGAAAAAUUGAUACCAUUACUACUCUUCAAAUCAUGUAAAUUCGAAA